rnacentral:rRNA from 1 species
ACGAACGCUGGCGGCGUGCUUAACACCUGCAAGUCGAACGGAAAGGCCCUGCUUUUGUGGGGUGCUCGAGUGGCGAACGGGUGAGUAACACGUGAGUAACCUGCCCUUGACUUUGGGAUAACUUCAGGAAACUGGGGCUAAUACCGGAUAUGAGCUCCUGCUGCAUGGUGGGGGUUGGAAAGUUUCGGCGGUUGGGGAUGGACUCGCGGCUUAUCAGCUUGUUGGUGGGGUAGUGGCUUACCAAGGCUUUGACGGGUAGCCGGCCUGAGAGGGUGACCGGCCACAUUGGGACUGAGAUACGGCCCAGACUCCUACGGGAGGCAGCAGUGGGGAAUAUUGCACAAUGGGCGGAAGCCUGAUGCAGCAACGCCGCGUGCGGGAUGACGGCCUUCGGGUUGUAAACCGCUUUCGCCUGUGACGAAGCGUGAGUGACGGUAAUGGGUAAAGAAGCACCGGCUAACUACGUG